rnacentral:rRNA from 1 species
UACGUAGGGGGGCAAGCGUUGUCCGGAAUCGAUUGGCGUAAAGCGCGUGUAGGCGGCCAGGUAAGUCCGUUCUGAAAGCCCCGGGGCUCAACCCCGGGAGGCGGAUGGAUACUGCUUGGCUCGAGUCCGGAAGAGGCGAGUGGAAUUCCCGGUGUAGCGGUGAAAUGCGCAGAUAUCGGGAGGAACACCAAUGGCGAAGGCAGCUCGCUGGGACGGUACUGACGCUGAGACGCGAAAGCGUGGGGAGCAAACAGG